GUCUAAUACAGUGGGUCCUAGCCACGUGUGGCUAUCAAGCACCUGAGAUGUGGCUAGAGAGGUUGAGGAACUCAAUUUUUAACUAAUCUACAUCUAAAUUUAUAUAGCCACAUGGGGCUAGAGGCUCCUGUGUUAGUGCAGUUCUAGAUCGAUUAAUGCUAUUUUAUACUGUUAUUUUUCAUGGGUAGUUCUAAUGAAUCUUUGAUUUUUUCCUUCUGAAUUAUUUCCAGGUGCUCCCUUUAGUUUUCUGGCAAGAAGCUAGGGAGAAGGUGACUUGAGCUCCUCGUGUGUUUUGAUCACUCAACAAAGAAGACAAAAGGGCGUUUCAUAACCUGACAGUGGGAGAGCACAUUAAAAAGGAGCUGAGCUGACCUUUGCACUGUCUAUGAAGAAUGAGUUUCCUAAACUCAUCAUAGCAACAAGAUAUAACGGGGGUUAUUAAGCCACUAAAACUUUUUCUGAAUUCAUAUGCACUUUUUCCCAAAUAGAAUGCUGACGACAAAUAAUUUUAUCAAUCAUUAAAGAAGAUCCCUUCAGAACCUCUCCAGGGAAAUACUUGUAGCUUAGUUCUGGUUAGCACGUAAUGCCACAAGAAUCUGGCAUCAUUUAGACCAGCCAUUUAUUCAGAUAUCAAGAGCAAGAGACUGUAACUGAUUCCCUGACCUCUGACUAAAAACAAAUAUAAACAGUUCUGUGGACUAAAUGUUGUUUAUCCUGGGAAGGAUGUGGUUUUAUCACUGUUGCCCACAGUAACUGGUCAGCCCCUGUGUCUCAGAAGGGAGCUGAGAAGGCUUGAAAGGGUACACCUACCUGUCCUGGCUGAGCAAGAGGGCCAUCAGAGUGGAGACCACUGUUCCCAGCCAGCCAGUGAGAGCCCACCAGGGGUUCUGAACAAGAAGUCCUACCAGAAUCAGGAUUCCACUGACGGGGUUGUUGACGAACACCACUUGGGAUAUGCCCCGGAGAAUCCAGUCAAUGAACUGGAGCACCACGGGUUUGUCUGGAAGGGAUGAGGUAAAGCAGAGCUAAGGAAGCUGCCAAGUGAUACUCUUCAACCACAGGCCCACCCUGAGCAAAAUCAGCAAAACCUCCUGGAAGUGAAACAUUUUUGAUAUUUCUUUAAUAUUUCUCUCUCAACCCAUUGUUGCAUUAGUGGCACCCAGAUCCCUGAAAGCCUCUAUCUACUGUAUGCUCAACCCACACUGCCCCUCCUAGAAUCUAAGCUCCUGAAAGCAUCUAAUGCACUUAUUUUCAUGCUUAUAGGUACAAAUUCUGAAGCCAAAGGAAUAAAUUUAAGUUUUAAGUACUGAAACUACAGGAUGAAGCCAGGUGCCUUCUAAUAUGAGCUGGGCCCUGGCUACUGUCUCCAUAAGAAAAAAAAAUGGAGAGGUUUGCAGGUUAAAAGAUAAAAGUAGAAAAAUGGUGAGUAAAGAGAUCUAUAAAAAGUUGGAGAAUAUAACUAAAGGUAUAAGUAGAAGUACCAGGAAACCAUUUCCCCCAAAGCUACUUCUCCUGUCUCUCCAAAAUGUGAAAGGAUAAAUACCUUUAAGCUGGUUGGCAAGUUCUUUCAUGUCACCGGUGACAUAGCCAAGAGCUUUGGGGAA
rnacentral:lncRNA from 10 species